GGUGCCUUGUUGAGUUGGUGUUGUAGCUGAAAGAAUCUCCACAGGACCGUUUACUCCAGCUUUAAGCCUAAGUGGCAACGGAGGAAGCAUGCCGACAACUAGGAGAACCAGUAAGGAUGCCCCUGUCAAUCCUUAUGAGAAAUGUCGAAAUGAAACAAUUGCAGCGAACAACAGGAAGCUUCAAUCUCUAAAUCUGCCUCCUAUGCAGAACUUAGGACAAAAUGGUCAAUCUAGUAAAAGAACAAAGGCUGAAAUUGCAAGUCAGCAGAUUGAAGAAGAAGACCCUGAGUAUCAACCAAAUGGAGAUGAUUUAAUCAAUGAUGAAGGAAAUCUAUGACAUUGAUGAGGCGGCCAAAAACUGGGUUCUG